GUUUCCUUGGCAAAGAUACUGGAAGAGUUUGCCAUUUCCUUUCCCAGCUCAUUUUACAUAUGAGGAAAGGAGGUAAACAGGGUUAAGUGACUUGCCCAGGGUCACAUAGUUAAUGAGUGUCUGAGGCUGGAUUUGAACUCACAAAGAUAAGUCUUCAUAAUUCCAGGUCUGUGCUACCUGGUUGCUUAUUGCCCCAUCCAGCAUGACAUAAUAUGAUUCAGAAUGAUGCUCAGAUAUCCAGGUAAAUGAUGUGCAAAAUUGGAGUCAAGAAGACCAAAUUUCAGAUCCUUACUCUGUCAUAAGCUUGGUUACCAUCGAUUUGACCUUGGUUCUGUCAAUCACAAUGGCAUACCAUUUUUCAAUCCAAGGUAAAUUUUCUCUACAACAACAGGCAGAAGGUUGCUAAGAAGACAUUGUCACCAAGGAUAGGCUUUCCAAGAUUAACAAGUGUGCAUGAUGAUCAAAAAGCUUAUCAUAAAAAAUUCCACUGAACCACAAUGUUUUCUAACAAAUCACACAGCCUGCCUGAUAUAUCAGGAUGUGUCCACAUUAAGGAAAUUUAUUUGGACUCAUAUUUUAGCAGUAUCUCAUUUGUUUGCUGUUGAAUGAGACUUCCACUUACCAUUGAAAAUACUGACAGCCUUGAGACAAAACAGACAGCUUCCCAUCUUGAAGAGGCAUCAAGUGUGGCUAACAAAGUCUGUGACAGACACUAUGAGAGAUCUACCCUUCCUGGAUAUUUUAGGCAGAACAAAGACUAGCACUUUGAGAGUAUUGGGAAGAUUAUAUAAACUUACAUUAUGUUUUAGACAUGGACAUAUAGAAAGGAAACAGAACUAGCCUCAUUUUUCUACCUAAACCACCCCACUGGGGUUUCAUCACUCAUCCAUUCAACAAAUAUGUAUUGAGGACAAAUGAUGCAAAAGAAAAAAAUCAUUCUCAGUAUACCAGGAGAUACAAACAUGUCUAAAAAUAGGGCUCCUGCUUUCAAUGAGCUUAUUAUCUAGUAGAGGGUAUCAGCUUAAUGCAGGAACAUCUAUUAUCUAAUAAAUAAAACUUCAUCUCUUAUCUAUGUUGAGCA
rnacentral:lncRNA from 1 species